rnacentral:rRNA from 1 species
AUUGAACGCUGGCGGCAGGCCUAACACAUGCAAGUCGAGCGGAUGAAGGGAGCUUGCUCCUGGAUUCAGCGGCGGACGGGUGAGUAAUGCCUAGGAAUCUGCCUGGUAGUGGGUGAUAACGUCCGGAAACGGGCGCUAAUACCGCAUACGUCCUGAGGGAGAAAGUGGGGGGUCUUCGGACCUCACGCUAUCAGAUGGGCCUAGGUCGGAUUAGCUAGUUGGUGGGGUAAAGGCCUACCAAGGCGACGAUCCGUAACUGGUCUGAGAGGAUGAUCGGUCACACUGGAACUGAGACACGGUCCAGACUACUACGGGAGGCAGCAGUGGGGAAUAUUGGACAAUGGGCGAAAGCCUGAUCCAGCCAUGCCGAGUGUGUGAAGAAGGUCUUCGGAUUGUAAAGCACUUUAAGUUGGGAGGAAGGGCAGUAAGUUAAUACCUUGCUGUUUUGACGUUACCAACAGAAUAAGCACCGGCUAACUUCGUG